GGCCGCUGAAAUAACCCAACUGUUUAGAGUUUAACAUUUUGUCCUAUCUGUUUACCUGUUUAUCUGUUGAAGGAUUUAGAACCUGCCCUGCACUGGAGCCUCUCUGUCUGUGAACAACUCUCACACUUGCACCCCAGGCUAAAUGCGGCUGCUCUAGGAAGGACUUAGCUAUCCUCUGGGCCUGGCAGCUAAUCUGCACAGGAAGGUGCGUGGCUUAGUCUAGCCCUGGACAUCGGGCAAAUGGAGAGAAAGCAGCAGGAGACUUAUCUGAGGCAGAUGACAAAUUUAACAGGUUGGUAGAGUGACACACAGUAACCGUAGCAGAGAAAGAGACUCCUGUCACUGAGUAAUGAGUCUGGACUGCCUCGUCUCCGUUCUCUGCUCCAAGUCUCAAGGCCAAGUCAAGGAGGCCUAUACUUUGGAUCUGCCCACUGCACCUGGGGCCACGCUGGCACAUGGAGCC